UGGGAGAGAUAGCAGGAAAUAGCCAAGGAGGGAGUUGGACAUGCUCGUGGAUGGGCUCGGGGUGGAGGGGAGUGGUUUCUAAAGCAAAGCUGGCACAGCUCGAAGUCCCAGGCAUGCUGCAAUAAUUGACAUGCUUUGUCAAUCUCUCUGCUCUUUCAUGACCAAGAGUUGACCCAGUCCCUCUCAUAUACCAGAAACCUGCAGGACCUAAAAGAUCACUCAAUGAUCCUCUUCUCAGUGAUGUUGUAUGGCACAGUUGGCGAGUGUACAAAGGCA